UGUAGCUUUCUCUGCAGCUACCAGAAGGCUGAUCUUGUCACUUUGUGGACGAUGCUUUAAGUGGAGAGAAGAUGGAAACACCCCAACAGUGGAAUGAUGCUUUUCAGAGCCAUACAUCUGAAUGAGGAUGAAGAAAAG